rnacentral:lncRNA from 1 species
CAAAAGGCAUAUUCAUUUCAAAUGCUUGAAUGCCAGCAUUAAUUUUAGUGGAUGUGUCAUUUAGGACAUUCCAUCAUCCUUUUGAUUGGUGGCCAAUGGUACAUGAUGGGUAUUAUUUACACCGCAUCAUGACAUUUGGGGAUCAUCAUGCACAUGGAGGCUUUGGGGUGUGAUCCAAGGGGUUCCAGUCUUGAGUAAAAUAAGAACUUUUCUAACAGUCUCACCAAGGAGUUAAAAAGGAAGGUGUCACUUGAUAGACUAAAAUAGCAAGCACCGUGUGGGAGAACUUAGCCAACCUGAAGGUGUAGUAUAUAGAUCGAGAAAUAGCUAGCAUAAACUAUUAUGAGUAGGUCAAAAGAGGACAUUGCAUUGAGAUAUAGGUUGAUCAAGUGUGAUAAUUAGUUUGACAGACUAAUCAAUACAUGGCCAUUAUGGUAAAUAUGAGUAGCUGA